rnacentral:lncRNA from 1 species
CUCUGAUGUCUAAUGAGGUGAGAAUGUGAAGUAAAGGCUUUGCCACGAUCAUCACACUUGCGAGGUUUCUCUCCUGUAUGAAUUCUCCUAUGUUUUGCAAAGGAUGAAGCUUGACUGAAGACCUUGCCACAAUCAUGACAUUUGUAAGGUUUCUCUCCACUAUGAGUUCGCCAAUGAACUGCAAGGUAUGAACGAUGUCUGAAAAAUUUGCCACAUCUAUUACACUUGUACGAUCUCUCUUCAUUAUGGAUUCUCCAAUGAUUUGCAAUGGUUGUAGCAUUACUAAAGACUUGGUGACAAUCAUUACAUUUGUAAAGUUUCCCUAUACCAUGGAUUGCUUGAUGGUAAAUAAGUGCUGACUGCCCACGAAAGGCUUUGCCACACUCAUUACACUGGUAAGGUUUCUCUCCAGUAUGAAGUCUACGAUGGCGUGUAAGGGAUGACUUCCGACUAAAGGUCUUGCCACACUCAUUACACUUGUAAAGUUUC